rnacentral:rRNA from 1 species
GACGAACGCUGGCGGCGUGCUUAACACAUGCAAGUCGAACGGAAAGGCCCUGCUUUUGUGGGGUGCUCGAGUGGCGAACGGGUGAGUAACACGGGAGUAACCUGCCCUUGACUUUGGGAUAACUUCAGGAAACUGGGGCUAAUACCGGAUAGGAGCUCCUGCUGCAUGGUGGGGGUUGGAAAGUUUCGGCGGUUGGGGAUGGACUCGCGGGUUAUCAGCUUGUUGGUGGGGUAGUGGCUUACCAAGGCUUUGACGGGUAGCCGGCCUGAGAGGGUGACCGGCCACAUUGGGGCUGAGAUACGGCCCAGACUCCUACGGGAGGCAGCAGUGGGGAAUAUUGCACAAUGGGCGGAAGCCUGAUGCAGCAACGCCGCGUGCGGGAUAACGGCCUUCGGGUUGUAAACCGCUUUCGCCUGUGACGAGGCGUGAGUGACGGUAAUGGGUAAAGAAGCACCGGCUAACUACGUG